UACGGGGGGAGCAAGCGUUGUUCGGAUUUACUGGGCGUAAAGGGCGGGUAGGCGGCCACCGCAAGUCAGUUGUGAAAUCUCCGGGCUUAACCCGGAAAGGUCAACUGAUACUGCGGGCUAGAGUGCAGAAGGGGCAACUGGAAUUCCCGGUGUAGCGGUGAAAUGCGCAGAUAUCGGGAGGAACACCAGUGGCGAAGGCGACUACCUGGCCUGUUUCUUGACGCUGAGGCGCGAAAGCUAGGGGAGCAAACGGG
rnacentral:rRNA from 1 species